AAUGGUGAUACCAUCAGCUCCACCACGCAGGCUCGCUGCCUAGAUGUUCUCUUCUACUCCAAUCUUUGCUUCACCCCUUAUGUCCAGUUAAUCGUCAAAUCAUGCACUUUCAUCUCAAAAACAUUGAGCGCAUCCACCCCUACUUCACGCCAAAUACAGCUAAGGUCCUGGACCACGCCACUGUCAUCUCUUACCUUGACUACUGCAAUCUGCUUCUCAGUACUCUCAACUUGCACCAUUACUGUCUAUAAUGAAUGCAGCGGUGAGUCUCAUCUUCCUGUCCCCCCGCACCUCCCACGCCUCCCUCCU